GGGUGAGUAAUGCUUAGGAAUCUGCCUAUUAGUGGGGGACAACAUCUCGAAAGGGAUGCUAAUACCGCAUACGUCCUACGGGAGAAAGCAGGGGAUCUUCGGACCUUGCGCUAAUAGAUGAGCCUAAGUCGGAUUAGCUAGUUGGUGGGGUAAAGGCCUACCAAGGCGACGAUCUGUAGCGGGUCUGAGAGGAUGAUCCGCCACACUGGGACUGAGACACGGCCCAGACUCCUACGGGAGGCAGCAGUGGGGAAUAUUGGACAAUGGGCGCAAGCCUGAUCCAGCCAUGCCGCGUGUGUGAAGAAGGCCUUAUGGUUGUAAAGCACUUUAAGCGAGGAGGAGGCUACUUUAGAUAAUACCUAGAGAUAGUGGACGUUACUCGCAGAAUAAGCACCGGCUAACUCUGUGCCAGCAGCCGCGGUAAUACAGAGGGUGCAAGCGUUAAUCGGAUUUACUGGGCGUAAAGCGCGCGUAGGCGGCUAAUUAAGUCAAAUGUGAAAUCCCCGAGCUUAACUUGGGAAUUGCAUUCGAUACUGGUUAGCUAGAGUGUGGGAGAGGAUGGUAGAAUUCCAGGUGUAGCGGUGAAAUGCGUAGAGAUCUGGAGGAAUACCGAUGGCGAAGGCAGCCAUCUGGCCUAACACUGACGCUGAGGUGCGAAAGCAUGGGGAGCAAACAGGAUUAGAUACCCUGGUAGUCCAUGCCGUAAACGAUGUCUACUAGCCGUUGGGGCCU
rnacentral:rRNA from 1 species